rnacentral:pre_miRNA from 1 species
GAAAACUUGUAAACUACCGUUGGAUUAAAAAAUAAACGUCAGAGAUUUAUCCACGUUACCAUGAGUAAAAGAUUUACUCGUGAGUAAAAAUUUUAUUGAGAGUCAAAUUUUUACUUAUGGUGAUGUGGAUGAAUUCCAGACGUCUAUUUUUCGAUCUAAUAGUAGUUUUAAGUUUCC